GCACGCUCGUGAAUGGGUUAGCCCAUCUGCUGCUCUGUAUGUUAUAGACGCACUUCUCGCCAAUAGCAGGCUUACGGAGACUACUGAACGGCAGAUCAUGCCCAUGCUCAAUCCCAAUGGGUAUGUCUACACUUGGACCCAGAAUCGUUUGUGGCGCAAGAACAGGGCUCAUUCUACCUCCUCAUUUGCAUCGGCUUUGACCUCAACAGAAAGUUUGGAUAUCAGUGGGGAGUGACCCUUGCUCCGAUAUUUACAAGGGAGCGUCACCCUUUAGCGAACCAGAAAGCAGGGCUCUCAGAGAUGCUAUGUUGCCC